AACGAACGCUGGCGGCAGGCCUAACACAUGCAAGUCGAACGCCGUAGCAAUACGGAGUGGCAGACGGGUGAGUAACGCGUGGGAACCUACCUUACGGUCGGGAAUAGCUCAGGGAAACUUGGGGUAAUACCGGAUACGCCCUUACGGGGAAAGAUUUAUCGCCGUUAGAUGGGCCCGCGUAGGAUUAGCUAGUUGGUGAGGUAAUGGCUCACCAAGGCGACGAUCCUUAGCUGGUCUGAGAGGAUGAUCAGCCACACUGGGACUGAGACACGGCCCAGACUCCUACGGGAGGCAGCAGUGGGGAAUAUUGGACAAUGGGCGCAAGCCUGAUCCAGCCAUGCCGCGCGAGUGACGAAGGCCUUAGGGUUGUAAAGCUCUUUUGGCGGGGAAGAUAAUGACGGUACCCGCAGAAUAAGCUCCGGCUAACUUCGUGCCAGCAGCCGCGGUAAU
rnacentral:rRNA from 1 species